UACGUAGGGUGCGAGCGUUGUCCGGAAUUAUUGGGCGUAAAGAGCUCGUAGGCGGCCUGUCGCGUCGGAUGUGAAAGCCCGGGGCUUAACCCCGGGUCUGCAUUCGAUACGGGCAGGCUAGAGUUCGGUAGGGGAGAUCGGAAUUCCUGGUGUAGCGGUGGAAAUGACGCAGAGUAUCAGGAGGAACACCGGUGGCGAAGGCGGAUCUCUGGGCCGAUACUGACGCUGAGGAGCGAAAGCGUGGGGGAGCGAACAGG
rnacentral:rRNA from 1 species